rnacentral:rRNA from 1 species
UAUUUGUUUAACUAUGGCAAUAGGAAGUUAUGUAACAUUAAUUGCAUAAAGUUGUUUUAUUAUGAUUGGUUAUAGAACUAUUUUAAUUUUAUUAGCAGUUAGUUUUUUAUUAGGAUCAAUGUCUUUUAAGAGUGUUAUGUAAGAAGGGGAUAGGACACAGUGCCAGCAUCUGCGGUUA